rnacentral:rRNA from 1 species
GAUGAACGCUGGUGGCGUGCCUAAUACAUGCAAGUCGAGCGAACGGACGAGAAGCUUGCUUCUCUGAUGUUAGCGGCGGACGGGUGAGUAACACGUGGAUAACCUACCUAUAAGACUGGGAUAACUUCGGGAAACCGGAGCUAAUACCGGAUAAUAUUUUGAACCGCAUGGUUCAAAAGUGAAAGACGGUCUUGCUGUCACUUAUAGAUGGAUCCGCGCUGCAUUAGCUAGUUGGUAAGGUAACGGCUUACCAAGGCAACGAUGCAUAGCCGACCUGAGAGGGUGAUCGGCCACACUGGAACUGAGACACGGUCCAGACUCCUACGGGAGGCAGCAGUAGGGAAUCUUCCGCAAUGGGCGAAAGCCUGACGGAGCAACGCCGCGUGAGUGAUGAAGGUCUUCGGAUCGUAAAACUCUGUUAUUAGGGAAGAACAUAUGUGUAAGUAACUGUGCACAUCUUGACGGUACCUAAUCAGAAAGCCACGGCUAACUACGUG